CAGAGAGGCAGAAGCUAGAGUAAAUCCUAGAUGAAGGCAGAGACAAUCCAUCAGCAUGAAAGGCCGAUGGAAGCAAACGCUAAAGGCUAAAGCCAACUCUGCACAUAUGACCAGUGUUCGUGUGACAGAGCAGGAGACCAAUAAGACUCUGCAGGAUGGCAUCUUUCAAUCCAAGGAGGAACAUUAGAAGGGUCUACAUUCUUUGAAGGCUGUGAACACCAAUGAAGGAGAGGAACUAUUUCUUGGGGGUACAUGAAGGCACAACUUGGUGCAAAGGGAUAAAGUUAUGCACUCUUCAUUUCCAUCAUGGUGAGCUGAGAAGACAUAGAAGAGGGCACUUGGAAGAGGGGAAAGCUGUAAAGUGAAGGAUGUGGUUCUGCACUGAUUCGCACUGAGGGAGCUUGCACUCUCUGGGCACUGGAGACUCGGUUCCAUUUUUGGUUCUGCCACAGAUUUCUCUGCAGCUUUGGGCAAGUCAUGU